UAUGUCAUGAAGCUUUCAUGUAAAUGUAAACUUCCCAAGCCAAUGAUUUUUGAGAAAAAGAUUUUCAAUGAUUUUCCCUAUAUAUUUGUAUGUAAAAUUUUGAUCCCCUACUGUGGCCCCAUCUUACCCCCGGGGACCAUGAUUUUACAAACUUCAAUCUGCACUAUGUCAGGAAGCUUUUGUGCAAAUGUAAACUUCUUAGCCUAAUGGUUCUUAAGGAGAACAUUUUUAAAGAUUUUUUCUAUUUAUUAGUCAUGUAAAACUUUGAUCCCCUAUUAUGGCCCCAUCCUAACCCCAGGGGUCAUUAGUUUCACAAACUUGAAUCUGCACUAUGUCAGGAAGCUUUCAUGUAAAUCUCAGCUUUUCUGGCUCAGUGGUUCUUCAGAAGAAGAUUUUUAAAGAUUUUCCCCAUAUAUUUGUAUGUAAAACUUUGAUCCCCUAUUGUCGCCUCAUCUUACUCCCGGGGGUCAUGAUUUUAACAAACUUGAAUCUGCACUAUGUCAGAAAGCUUUCAUGUAAAUUUCCACUUUCCUGGCCCAGUAGUUUUUGAGAAGAUUUAUAUUUGUAUGUAAAACUUUAAUCCCCUAUUGUGGCCCCAUCCAACCCUCGGGGGCCACGAUUUUAACAAACUUGAAUCUGCACUAUGUCAGGAAGCUGUCAUGUAAAUUUCAGCUCUUCUGGCCCGGUGGUUUUUGAGAAAAAUUUUAAAUGACCCCACCCUAUUUUUGUGAUUAUCUCCUCUUUGAAGGGGUCAUUUGAACCACCUUGAAAGCUCUUCAUCCAAGGAUGCUUUUGUCGAAGAUUGGUUAUUAUUGGCCCAGUGGUUCUAGAGAAGAAGUCGAAAAUAUAAAAAGUUUACAGACGAUGGACAACAGGCGAUCAGAAAAGCUCCCUUGAGCUUUCAGCUCAGGUGAGCUAAAAUGGAAAAAUAAAUUUUGGAAAUUUUCAGCUCAAAUUGUGUUCAUGUCCCUCUAAAUAAGAAGAAAUAUCAAACUGUUUUAAAAUGGCGAGGGCUACAUGUACAUUAAUGCAGCUAGGUAAACAGGUGUGUGAUUAGUCAGUCAAUAUGUGUGAUCAAUGAGUCAAUAUGUGUAAUCAAUCAGUCAACAUGAAAUAUGUGUGAUUAGUCAUUCAAUAUGUGUGAUUAGUCCGUCAAUAUGUAUGAUUAGUCCGUAAAUCAGAUCUUUUGAUCCACUCACAAAGUGUAGCAAUCUAUGUGAGCGGAUCAUAGGAUCCGAUUUUAAUCAGAUUGUGAAUAUGUGAUCAAUCAGUCAAUAUGUGUCAUUAGUAGUCAAUAUGUGUAAUUGUUAUAUUCAGUAAAGAAUAGUCUCUUAUAUAGAGAGUAACAGUCACCACAAUUGAUACUGUAUUAGCUCCUCCGACAGUCAUUUAAUUUCAACUAUUCACCGGCAAAGAGUUUUCCCACAUUUUUACUGAUUUUGAUUCUAAGCAGAUUGAUUUACUGUGAUGUAAUAAAAAUGUUGCAAUGUCCAAAAAACUAUUUACUUUAUUUAAAUGACUUUGUUUCCAAUGACUUAUACUCAAAUGUUUAUGAAUGAUAACAAAAUACUAUUUUAUUGAUUCAUCUUGUUUUUGUUUUGCUCCAUGUUGGGCAAUAUUUCAUCCUAUGGGGGCUAACAUAAUCAAUGUUGAUCUCAACUCCUUGUACAUUAAUGAUUCAAUAUAUGUUACUAAUCAUUCAAUAUGUGUGAGUAGUCAGUCAGUGUGUGUAAUGAAUGAGUCAAUAUGUGUAAUGAAUGAGUCAAUAUGUGUAAUUAAUCAGUCAAUAUGUGCGAGUAGUCAGUCAAUAUUUGAGAUUUAUAGUCAGAAUUGCUCAGUUGGCUGCUGCACUAAUAUGGAGCAUCUGAGGUCCAGGGUUCAAGUCCCGGGUGAGACUUGACCUGUGACAUUUAUCCAUCUGGCUGGUAAUCAGCUUACUAUCUACAAGACCACUCAAUCACAACCGUUACACAACUAUAUCAAUUCAGGCAAUUUUAAUGAUGCAUGUAUACUGGAAUGAAGUCAGAUAAAUUACUCACAAUUCAAAACAACAAAAAAACAUAUACAAGACACCGAAACACAAGGAGACUAAGGGCAGUCUGUGAUAGGACAGGUGACAAGGAACCUGACUAGUACAUUAUGAUAGGACAGGUGACAAGGAACCUGACUAGUACACCUGGUUCCUUUCACAUCGCGGUGGCUUUAGUACAUACAGUUAUAUAGACUUACACAGAUACAGCACAAACUUCACUAUCAGUCACAUCAUUAGAGAUGUAUAUACAUUUAGAUUUAUCCACAGUUUAGUACUCUAAUUAAAUACUUGUCAGACAAUUUAAAAUGAUCAAAAUCCUGAUUUCAACUUAAUUGCAA